AAGAGAGGUGUAAGUACACUUUGAUUUCCUGACAAGUUUGAGGACUUUAGAGCUCAUCAAUUCCUACUCCUCCCCUGGAAAUUGGCUCCUAAUUCUUGCUGCCACUUGCUGGAUAUGUCUGAAUAGAACAUAAGGUGCUGCUCUGUCUGACUUUAGUUAGUUAUUAUUUUCCAACUAAGGUCAAACCCUACCCACUAGGUUGGUUCUCUUUGCACAUUGAUCCUGCUGUAAAGCUAAACUUAAUUCACUGAGUCUCUGUGGAUACUGCAUGGUUUAUGAUUGCUGACUGAGACCAGCCCUACGGAAAGAUCGAUGCCCCAAAACUCACUUCUGUCCUGCCUUAUGCCACCCACCAUACCCCCAUAACACUAUUGCACAUGUCACUAGGUUCAUCAUGCUUCAAGGUCAAUCUGGCCAGUUUAUAAGAACAGGUAUUCAUAAGUUGUACUUCCUCAGGUCUGCAACACAUCAAUACGUGUUAUUUUGAAACAGCUGGGUAAGUUUUGAAAACCUGUUCCAGGUGCCUUAAAAACAAUAACAACAAAAGAAAAGAUCUGGAAAUAUUAAGCAGCAGUCAAUAACAUUUAGACUUUUUUUCUUAGUUUGGGGUUCUUUUUUAUUAUGGUAAAAACACAUAACAUAAAAUUUAUGAUUUUUAAGUGUGCAGUUUAGUGGCAUCGCUCAUAUUGUCAGGGUAUCAUCUUCUCCAAAUGAGGCUUUUAUCUUCUCCAAAUGAAACUCUGUGCCUAUUAAACACUAACUUCUCAUUCCUUCCUCCCUCCAGUCCCUGACAGCUACCAUUCUACCUUUUGUUUCUAUAAAUUUGAAUACUCUGUGUAUCUCAUUUAGGUGGAAUAAUACAGUAUUCGUUCUUUUGUGACUGGUUUAUUUCACUUAGGACAAUGCCCUCAAGUUUCCUGAAUGUUGUAGUAUGUGUCAUAAUGUCCUUAUUAGUUUUUAAGGCUGAAUAAUAUUCCAUCUAUAUCUAUAACACAUUGUAUUUAUUCAUUAUUUUGAAGUAUUCAAGUGUGAGAAAUAAUUAAUACAUGCACACACAAAGGGUUAUUGUAUGUUUAGUUUCAGGAUUAUGCCUAAUGCUGUCCAUCCACAAGGCAAUAGCAAAAAAAAAUAUGAAAUUUCAAUAAGAUAGAAUGUCACUUAAUAUAUAGAUGUUUCUUAAAGUGGACUGAAGUAUAGUGAAGUUGCUAAGUUUACUGUUUGGAUGACAAAACCAGUGCCACCUCUUACAAGCUGGGUAAACUGGGAAAGUCAGCUUAAGUUCUCUGAGCCCCAUUUUUCUCAUUUGAGAAAUUAGAUGAUGAUAGUAUUUUUUUGAAAAGUUAGUUUUGAUUAAUAAAUGAAAUGACAUAUACAAAGCACUUUGUUCAACAUCUGAUAAAAGAGGUAAAGAAAGUUUAGUUUAAUUAGUUAUUCAUUUUUACUCAGUGUCAGCAGGCAGCUCCCUGCUAGAUAUAGAAGUGAUAUGAUAAAUCACAGCUGAGAAUUUGAAGCACUCAUAUCCAAAUGGAGAAAAGGACCUAAACUCUGAAAUACAUAUUAGGGUUUCAAGCUAUUUUCAAGUAUGCAAUCUAUUUUCAUCCUCAUACCUGGAAGUAGGCUUAUGAAAUAAUGUUAAAAGUAAAAAGCAGAGGAUAGAAUCUACGAGGUACACAAUGGUUGCAGUUAUGCAAGCUACAUUUCUGGUGCAAACACACAUAUACGUACAUACACACCCCAAGCAAAAGGAACUAAUAUUUGCUAAGUUUUUAAAUGUAAAAUUGUCUAAGAAAUUAUAAGAACAUAAUAAAUCAAUACACAUAAUAAUUCUUCUAAGAAUGUUGAAUUUGAGUAGGAACCAGAAAUUUGGGUUCAAUAGGAGAAAAAUAAGCAAUGCUCUGCCUCUCUUCAGAGGAGAAUCAUAGAAUGUUAUUGCUAAGAGGUCUUUAAGAUACAAUUUUGUCACAGAUCCUCAGUUCACAGACCAGGAAUCUGAAGAUUGGAGAUGUUUAAAGACUUGUUCAAAAUAUUGCGGCCAGUGAGAAUAGAAGCCAACGGAUUGGUUUCUUCUAGUCCUGAGGCCUCUUGUCUAAACCAUAAAUUCACUUUUGAUUCCGUAGGACUCGUUUGUUGUAAGCUUCAAUGUAUUUUAUUAUGUACAAGGCCAUUUUCUCAUCUUUUCAAUCACAUGAAACAUUUAGAACUCAAUGUAGAAUUGUCUUUGCUAACAUUUUCAAAAUUAACCUUCUUAAGAAUUUCACUAAAAGUCUUAAUAUUUAAAUAUAAUUCUCCAUACUAUUCAUAUGAUUUAUUGUACCAUUUAUUAUCAUGCACAAUGCUGAAGAUUAUAUCGUCUAUCAAACAAGUAUUUAAAGGCAAUAAAAUAUAAUUUUAAAAAUUUAAUUGUGCGAAGACAUGUAAUGCAUCAUAGUAAAUAUUCUGAAAGCUGAUAAAAUGUGAUUCAUUAAUAGAUGCUGCACUACUUGUUACCGUGGCCUAUUGUAUAAUUACAUUGGAACCUUUUUGAUACCUAUUCAAAUGAGUCUCACCAUAGCUCAGGCUGGAGUGCAGUGGCGCGAUCUCGGCUCCUGCCUCCUGGGUUCAAGCACGGCCUCCUGGGUUCAAGCGAUUCUCCUGCCUUAGCCUCCCGAGUAGCAGGGACUACAGGCACCCACCACCACGCCCAGCUAAUUUUUUAUAUUUUUAGUAGAGACAAGGUUUCACCGUGUUAGCCAGGAUGGUCUCCAUCUCCUGACCUCGUGAUCUGCCCGCCUCGGCCUCCCAAAGUGCUGGGAUUAAAGGCAUGAGCCACCGCACCCGGCCAGAUGUCAUUCUGUUUGUCACAACCAAGCUCUUCAUAUAUAUCAGUGAAUUCACCUUCACUAAGUUCUCCUGGCUGCAGAUCUAGAGUCUAUCCAACAGUAGCCAUGUAAACAUUUCCACAUUCAGCUAUUUUUUUUAUAACUCUAUUUAUAGAUUUCACUUCCAGCCUCAUCACUUUUCAUUUAUUUGCUGCACUUUGAUCUUUGUUAGUCAAUUCUUUCUUCUGAUUAUCCAUUUUUGUAAAAUGUCACAUGAGUUUGUCACUGGGAGGCUAUCUGUGGGUGAGCUGAGUGAUAUAUGUGCAGUGACCAAUCACUGGCAGACGUUGAAAGGAGUGACAUGAUUGGUCCCUGAUCAUGAUGUGCUUCUGCUAUUUACAUAGCGAUUUGUGGACUGGGAGCAAGCAGUGAGGUUUGUACCUUACGAAAUUAUACACAGGUAAUACACGGUGGUAACUGAAAUUUAAACAGUGUUGUUGGUAGAUUGAAGUUACUUAACUAAAUCCUAGUACCUGAAAUUUGUGCCAUGUCACAAAUGUGAAAAGAAGGGAAAUUCUUGAUUUUUCCAUCGUUAUACCUCAAGUUAUCCCCGACGUCAAAUAUUUAAAUAUAAUAAAAAUUUGAAGCAAAUGAACUGUGGCUGGAAAGCAUGUGAAUUAACCUGGAUUAGGACAAAAAUAAAGCACUCAGUGUUCAACAAAUGUGGUGGCUAGAAAGGCCAAUUAGAAAUAUAUCCUCACCUUGUGUUGCUUGGAGACUACUCAGGCAAUUAAAAUCCAUGCAUACAUAACUGAGGCACAGCAUAAAAAGCUGGCAGAGUGGCAUGGUAAAAAUACCAAGACUAUACAAAAUUCAUCCUCAGGCCAUUUAUUUGGUUGCCAUUUUUUAUUAGAGACCAAAAAUAUCUUCAUUGGAAUUGUUCUACAUAAGAAUUAGUAUGAGUGUGAUGUGUAAAAUAGAUUGCAGGUGUUGUGGGAAGAUUUGUUAGGAGGCUACAUUAUUUGCUAUUUUAGUAUGGCAUAGAAUUACUCUGGAGAAAGAGUUAUUGAGGCAAUGACAGUAGUAAUGGAGAGAGUGAAAAUUACAGAGGUGCAGGAGCUAAGACUUGUCACCUGGAGAUGAACAGAGAGAAGAGAAUCAUUUGGAGACAGCGAUUGUUUCAAGCUGUAGUGAUUUGCAGAAACCUGAAGAUCUGCUGAUCUUCACAAGAUACCAGUGAUGUUUAAUGCAGCUCAUUUGAACAAAAUUAAAACUAUUGCUAGGUUUUCUCACUUAGUUCUGCAUGCCAUCUCUCAUUGUUAUUCAUCUGUAUCACUAGUUCCCUUUAUAGACUAUCAUUUAAUAAAAAGAACUGGUGACAAACUCUACCUACUCUUCUAAACUUUUUUUCAUCUAGUAUCU
rnacentral:lncRNA from 10 species